rnacentral:tRNA from 1 species
GUCGGGGUGGCUCAGCCUGGUGGAGCGUCGGACUCAUAAUCCGGAGGUCGCGGGUUCAACUCCCGCCCCCGACA